AGUGAACGCUGGCGGUAGGCCUAACACAUGCAAGUCGAACGGCAGCACAGUAAGAGCUUGCUCUUACGGGUGGCGAGUGGCGGACGGGUGAGGAAUACAUCGGAAUCUACUUUUUCGUGGGGGAUAACGUAGGGAAACUUACGCUAAUACCGCAUACGACCUACGGGUGAAAGCAGGGGAUCUUCGGACCUUGCGCGAUUGAAUGAGCCGAUGUCGGAUUAGCUAGUUGGCGGGGUAAAGGCCCACCAAGGCGACGAUCCGUAGCUGGUCUGAGAGGAUGAUCAGCCAAACUGGAACUGACACAAGGUCCAGACUCCUACGGGAGGCAGCAGUGGGGAAUAUUGGACAAUGGGCGGAAGCCUGAUCCAGCCAUACCGCGUGGGUGAAGAAGGCCUUCGGGUUGUAAAGCCCUUUUGUUGGGAAAGAAAAGCAGCAGGUUAAUACCCCGCUGUUCUGACGGUACCCAAAGAAUAAGCACCGGCUAACUUCGUG
rnacentral:rRNA from 1 species